GACCGCAUUGUUCUGAGAUUGGAAAACUCAACACGAAAUUUAUACUGAGUCGGUCGGUUUUCAAUGGCGGGCUGCAACCUUCGGGUUUCCGAUUUUUCGGAACAGCAGAUUACAAAGAGAAUUAGUGGCUCAAAUCCUGUUUACAGGAGUUUUCUCAACAGAAUAACAAUGCGGUUCUUUUG
rnacentral:sRNA from 1 species